rnacentral:misc_RNA from 1 species
CCAAUGAUUGGGAACCAGUUGAGGUUGAUAGAUCUCCUGAUUGCUAAAAUCAAAUACCCAUCUUUGUGCACCUUUUUUAUGUCUCUGGUGGUCGCAAGAGAAGUCUCUUAUUUGGAGGAUCUCUUCUAGUUCAUUUUGAUCCUCGGACAAAUGAAUGAAGCCACCAAAUGGUUGCUAUAACACACUUUUUUGCCGUCCAAAAUAUCUGUCUAACAUUGAUUUGUGUAAAAUACAUAAAA